rnacentral:rRNA from 1 species
UAAUACAGAGGGUGCAAGCGUUGUUCGGAAUUACUGGGCGUAAAGCGCGUGUAGGCGGCGGCGUAAGUCGAAUGUGAAAGCCCUUGGCUUAACCAAGGAAGUGCAUUCGAUACUGCGUCGCUUGAGUGCCGGAGGGGAUGGCGGAAUUCCUGGUGUAGAGGUGAAAUUCGUAGAUAUCAGGAGGAACACCUGUGGCGAAGGCGGCCAUCUGGACGGUGACUGACGCUGAGACGCGAAAGCGUGGGUAGCAAACAGGAUUAGAUACCCUGGUAGUCCACGCUGUAAACGAUGAGUGCUAGACGUCGCGGGUAUUGACCCCUGCGGUGUCGAAGUUAACACGUUAAGCACUCCGCCUGGGGAGUACGGUCGCAAGAUUA